AGAGUGUGUGUGUAUAUAAUGCAGAGUGUGUGUAUAUAAUGCACACACUCUGCAUUAUAUACACACACACUCUUA